AUGGCCACAUCAUGUUGAAACACUGGCUCCCAUGUGAUUACCAAAGUUAAGCAAUGUUAAGCCUGGUCAGUAUCCAGAUGGGUGAUCACUUGGAAAUACCAGGUGGU